rnacentral:lncRNA from 1 species
UGUACCUGUUCAUUUGUUGUUUAGGACAGUAUUGGACGCAACUAUGUCUAAUUUUCUAAUAUUCCUUGGAGGUUUUAUAUUUUCAUUAAUAACCUUAAGCCAUGCAGAAAAUACUGCCAAAGAAAUCGCUGAAAUUUUGCGUCGUCUUGGUGAGUAAACUAAAUCUAUUGAAUUGAUAUUAUACUCUAAAUAUUUGACUUUCGAAUAUAUGAUCUAUUAAUAUGAUGAUGAAUGCCAAUUAAACGUCCAGCGGUAUAUUAAAUACAUUGUCAGGACAGGGACAUAUCAAUGUAUUGUCAACAUUUGACCCUGCUUUUUACCAAAUUGUCAUACUGAGUCGCAUUUUAAGGUGAUAGUUUACAAGGUAACUGACAACCGGAAGACUUGUCACCCUACCAGGAAACAUUAUCCGGACACUGAGUCGACCACUCUUUGCUCUUUCUUUUUGAAGCCACAAGCUAAGCGGAGAGGCAGCAAAUAUCAAUUUUAAAGUAUUUCGUUCGACAUGGCUGGAGUUCUAACCCAUGACGCUUCUGCACUCGAGGCGACCCCACUAGCACAAGACCAAAAUGUACUAUACUUUUCAAGAUAAAUUUAUUUUCUUAAUUAAUUGAAGAAUUUGAAAUAAAAAUUACAUAACUCUUAAAUAAUGCUCAAAGAUUUUCACACAAAUUACGUGUAUUUUAACAUUUUGUUUAUUAGAUGUGAAUUGAUCAUUAAAAAAAUUCAAAUGUUACUAAUAAAUGAAAUUGUCAAAGAGUUUUGUUUAAGAUAUACAAAGAAAGAAUUAAAAAUAACAUCGUUAGGCCAAUUAAAAUUAAUUGCUAGAUUUUCAUCCCCGCCCGCCCCUCUGAAAUCGUCCCGCCCCGAUUUUUUUUAUUUAACAAAAAUACGAUUUCCGGAUUUUGUUCAUGUCCGUUACCGGGAACCAUCGAUAAUUUCGUUUCAUUCAAAACUUCCUGUUUCAAAUUUCGUUUUUGUAUUUCUUCGAGUAAUCAAACGAAAAUGAUUAAGUCGACAUAUUCUGCUGCUCUAUGAUGACAACAUCAUCUUCCGAGAAUAGUGAUUGAUAACGAGAAGAGCAUGAAAUAUUCGUGUUACGCUGAAACGCAAAUUGCGGUAGUCACAAGUGAAUCGAAAACCGUGUUUUUUUCUUUAUUUAUACAAUGACUUUGUGACAGGAAAUGUGGACUGUGAAUGAUAUCCAAAGCGCAAGAAUCGUAGAACAAAUUGGUAAAAAAACAUGACUGGAUUAAACAAAUUGACACAAGCACGAACUUAUUUGAUUUAUGACCGUAUAUUGAAAAAAAAAGUCGACAAACACGCAUUUUAAUUAUAACAAACCCUUGGCUGUUGUUAUUUUGUUGACCAACAGCAAACACCCUCUGUAACUGUCCCAAUACCUUCAAUUUAGUCAUUAAACAACAACUACUUUUUGGUUAAGUUCAUGUUUUACAUCAUAAUUACUUUCAACACUGAGUUUACAUUUUAUUCUGUACUCACAAUACAGUUUGUACUUGUGUUGCAUACAAUUGUACCAAUACAUUUUAUUGAUUUUAUGGGGACUACAAACCAUUGCUUAGAAAGCAAAAUAAAUUUGGUGUAGGUAUAGUCCAACUGAAGAGAGCAUUUCUCUUCUUUUUGAUGUAUACUAUAAAUAGGUUUCUAAAGCGGCAAUUACCUGUAUAACAGUGGUUGCCAAUCAGGGAUUUUUAUUUAAGAGUUUAAAAAAUAGAGUAGAAUUCCUUAUACAGCAUGUAUAUACAUUAUACAAGCUUGUUUUCCACUAGCAUAUACCCCGUGGUAUGAAGAACUCGUGACGAGGGUAUCAUAUGAAAUAAAAUUUAAAAAAUAAAAUCCUUCCACCCGCCCCAUUUUUUUCAAAAAUUUGGAUGAAAAUCUACUAAUUAAUUUUAGUUGGCCUUAUGCAAAUGAAUUAUUGAAUUCAUUUGAUGUGUGUUUGAUUAUUCUUUGAUAACAGUCUUCUAAGGCAUAUGCUAUACUUUGAUAAACAGCAAUUGUUCUUAUAACCAUGCAAGUUGCUGUCACAUGUAUUUGAUAGACUUCCCGGACAAAUAGUCAAAGCCUUAAUUAAAAAAUAAACAUUUACAACAAAGUUAUGUCAAAUGCUGUUUUUUUCUUAUAGAAUAUGUUGAAAGCAAAGUUAAGACUCUUGAAGCAGAAAAUGAAAUACUGAGGGAUGAAAAUAUACAAAUCAAACACAUUUUAAAGGAAUAUAUUCUGCUACAUGACCGGACAGAUGGAGUUAGAGAUAAUAAUGUUAAUUUCCCUUCUUCAUAUGACUAAUCAAAUCAUACCGAAAUCAAUAAGGAAAAUGCUACAAAAGACGAGACCAGUAAUUAUUAUAGAACACA